ACAGAAACACACACACACAGGGAGAAAGCCAUGUGAAGACAGGCAGAGACUGGGGUAAUGCAGCUACAAGGGAAUGUCAGAGAUUGCUAGCAAACACCAGAAGCUGGAAGAGGCAAUUAAGGAUUGCUCCCUAGAGCUUUUAGAGGGAGGACGGCUCUGCCACCUGCCUUGUUCUUGGACUCCUAGCCUCCAGAAUUAGGUCACCUGUUGGGCAAUAUCACCAUAGACUGAAUACAGAAGCAGAUAUUAGCCUCCAGCCUCCUGCUCAUCUGGACACUAGAGAGAUUUCUAAAAAGAUAUAAGGAACAUUUAUGAAUGACCAGAAGGAAGUAUUAAUCAAACGAAAUGUUUCCAAUCCUAUAACAGGACACCUUGAUUUAAUCCCAGGAAUGGGAUUUUGCAUAAAAGAAGAAAGCUCAGGAAUGAUAAAUUUACACACCAUGGAUCUAGAAGGGAGUCUAUAACCCCAGAAUCACCAUUAUUUUGGGUGAUCCAUAUGGCUAUCAAUUAAAGUGCUACCUGAGUGCUGUUCAACUUCUUGAGAUGGAUGAAAAAGGAAUGAAAGGAGACAUAGCAAUCUUCAACUCCGCUCCUUUACUUUUGAAUAAGAGGUGAUGGAAGGCAAGGUCAGAGAGAUCUGGGUUCAAAUCUCAUGAUUUAACUGCUAUAUAACCUUGGCCAAAUUAUUUAAACUUUGUGUCUGUUUUUACUUAGCAAUAUAAAGACACUGGUCAUACCCACCACUCAGAAUUUCAAUCAGAACUAAAUGAAAUAAUAUAUGCAAAGUGCUUAAUAUAGUACACCUGGCAUGGAGUGGUAACUCAAUAAAUAGAUCUUUUGUUAUAA
rnacentral:lncRNA from 10 species